rnacentral:rRNA from 1 species
GUGCCAGCCGCCGCGGUAAUACGGGGGGUGCGAGCGUUGUCCGGAAUCACUGGGCGUAAAGGGCGCGUAGGUGGUUUGAUAAGGGUGUGGUGAAAGUCCGGGGCUCAACCCCGGAUCUGCCGUGCCGACUGUCAAACUCGAGGGCUGUAGAGGCAGACGGAAUUCCGGGUGUAGCGGUGGAAUGCGUAGAGAUCCGGAGGAAGACCGGUGGCGAAGGCGGUCUGCUGGGCAGUUUCUGACACUGAUGCGCGACAGCGUGGGGAGCAAACAGGAUUAGAUACCCGCGUAGUCC